AGCUGCGGGCUCGGGGCUCCCGCCGGCCCGUGCCCCACCCCCUCCCGGGGUGUCCUGCUGUGGGCGCCGCCGCCCCCGCCCGGCUGGACUGAGGACUGCCCGCGGCCCAGAGCUUUGCCCCCGCCUGUGGGGUCGGUGACCCGGAGUUGGAGGGAGAGGGAGCGAGGGCUCGGGCGCGAAGGUUUGGCUGGAAUCGAGGGUGAACAGAGUCGACGGAUUCUGAUGUUAGCUUCCUUUCUGAGGAAUCCAGUUACCCCCGAAUGGCAGAAGGCUUCUCAGGAUGCAGUUUCUGGAGUACCCGCUCCUGUCAUCUUCACACUCUCACCACUGCUGCUUCCAUAAAAGACAAGAGAUGAAUGAGGAGGUGAUAAACCCAUAGAGAAUAUACAGUUUAAUUCAGGCAUUAAAAAACAAUGAGUCAAUUCCAUAUGAUUGAGGAGAACCUUAAGUCCAAUACAUACUCUUACAUCCAGUUUCCGUUGAGAUUAUUUUUACUACUCAGUUGUUGUUGCUGAUAUCCAUCUUUACUGAUACGGGGAAUCGGAGAGGAGGCUUUUAAAUGGCAGAGGUAGAAAAAAGCCUUAAAGAGGAAAGAAAAUCAAGUCAAGCAAAAAUUCUCGUGUUCGAUGCCAGAAUUCAUAAUUAUAUUUCAGCCUACAGAGUUCUAGAAUCCCUGCAUACCUAACUUCCUACCACAAAAGAAGUCAUUGUCAUUGACUGCUUCACUAAAAAUGUCAGGGCCACCUCUUAGCGUGCCCCUUCCAAAGUGUGAUUUGUGUUGGACACUUGUGAAGAGUAGAUCUAAGAAACUCCCUGCCUUCCUAAUGUGUCUCUAAAAUAUGCCAGUUUUGUGAAUGUGCCUCUAAUAUUGAGACUCUGAGCCAAAGAAAAAAGGCACUUCAUACUUACUGUCCAGUUUCAGCUCAUUCCCGAAGUACCCAUGGAAGAUGUUAGAGGAUAAACUACCAGAUAUGACCACUGAAUGUACAGAGAAAUAUCCAGGCUUUGGGCCCUGCUCUUUCCACUCUUGAUUUCCUCAAAGGAGCUCAUAGCUAUAAUUGCCUUGAUUUCAGAGGACACUUUGGAUUUCAACUUUUUAGCAGUGCUGGAAUAGCUGGAAUUCGUUUCUGCAGCUUGCAACCAAGAGUGUUCACUAAUAUACAAUGUGUCUUUACAUGAGCAUCCUGGGGCUGCCACUAGUAUAUGAACCAUCAAUAGUUUUACAAGUGUAAAGGAUCAGGAACCAGAAGUAACACAGUCUUUCAGGCACCAGAUGAGUAGGCGAUGCCAGGAGAAAAAAGGUGGGAAGAGACUUUGAGAAGACUUAGAGGAAGGAGAAAGUCCACAGCAUUUGUUAAGGGAACCUGGCCCUAUGUUUUCCUGGGAAUUUCUACUGGAGUACUACUUCUGGCUUCUUGUACCAUUGUUUGUCUUACUCAAGAGUUAGUUGACCAGUGAACUUAGUUAUAUUCAUUAGCUCAAAGUUCUUGACUGAGUCGAGCUAAUCUAGCAAAAAAUCCCUAAUUACUGUGAUUCAUUCUCUUUUUUCCGUUUCUGACCUAGACUUGGGUAGACAUACUUGGGUAAACGUGUUUGCUCUGUAGGCCAGUGUUCCCCUUUUGGUGGCCUAUUCUCAGGGUAGAUUCUUUAGGGGUUGAGAGUGAGCAGAAUGUUGCCAACCCCUUUGGGUUAUAUAGAUCAAGAACCCUUUAUUAGCCUAUCUGUAAUA